CCUACGGGUGGCAGCAGUGAGGAAUAUUGGUCAAUGGCCGGAAGGCUGAACCAGCCAAGCCGCGUGAAGGACGAAGGUGCCAAGCAUUGUAAACUUCUUUUGUCAAGGGACAAAAUCAGGCUCGAGAGCCUGACCGAUGGUACUUGAAGAAAAAGCAUCGGCUAACUCCGUGCCAGCAGCCGCGGUAAUCCGGAGGAUGCGAGCGUUCUCCGGUUUUAUGGGGUUUAAGGGGGGCGUGGGCGGACUGUUAAGCCAGAGGUAAAAGCCCGGGUCUAAACCUCGGCGAGCCGUUGAAACUGGCUGUCUUGAGAUGUCGAGAGGUAUGCGGAAUGCGCAGUGUAGCGGUGAAAUGCUUAGAUAUUGCGCAGAACUCCGAUUGCGAAGGCAGCAUACCGGCGGCGAUCUGACGCUGAGGCACGAAAGCGUGGGUAUCGAACAGGAUUAGAUACCCGAGUAGUC
rnacentral:rRNA from 1 species